rnacentral:rRNA from 1 species
GAACUGAAGAGUUUGAUCCUGGCUCAGAUUAAACGCUGGCGGCAUGCCUUACACAUGCAAGUCGAACGGCAGCACGGGGGCAACCCUGGUGGCGAGUGG